GUCCGGAUAGCUCAGUCGGUAGAGCAGGGGAUUGAAAAUCCCCGUGUCCUUGGUUCGAUUCCGAGUCCAAGCACCA
rnacentral:tRNA from 1 species